UAUUCAACCCACUUUGGCACAGCCGAAGCUGCUCGUUGGUUUCUUAAUCACGAGAUGGGAACCAUAAGGAAGUGCUUGGAGAAAUAUGAGGGAUUUAGAUUAAGGUUAGUGGGUCACUCUCUUGGAGCUGCUAUAGCUUCUUUGCUAGCGAUCAUGCUUCGGAAAAGGUCAUAUGAGGAACUUGGAUUUAGCCCUGAUAUUGUUUCUGCCAUUGGAUUUGCAACUCCUCCAUGUGUCUCCAGAGAACUCGCUGAAAGCUGUGCUGAUUUUGUUACAACUGUUGUAAUGCAGGAUGAUAUUGUACCCAGGCUAAGUGUGGCUUCUCUAGCAAGGCUGAGGAAUGAAAUUCUUCAAACUGAUUGGAUGAGUGUCAUUGAGAAGGAAGACUGGAGAAGUGUCAUAGGUUUGGUCACAAAUGCAAAGCAGGUUGUAUCUUCUGUACAAGAUGUAGCUUGGAAACUCGCCGAUUAUGCGAAGUUCAGGAGCAACAAGAAUUCUUCCGACGGUCCCAUCUAUAAGCAGUCACUAGCAGCUUCCGGAGCCAAUUCAACUUCCAAAGCUACAAUAGUCAAUAAUUCUGUCCUCAAAAAGGAAGGAGCUGCUUGUAUGGUGUCAGAGGAGUUAUUUGUUCCAGGUACUGUUUACUAUCUAAAGAGGAACAUCGACACUAAUGCUUCCAGCAGAAAUGGCAGAGAGGUAGAAUUUUUCACACUAUGGAAAAGGCAUCCAGGUGAACAUUUCCAGAGGAUAGUACUCUCUAGCAACAUAAUCUCAGACCACAAGUGUGAUGGCCAUUACUACGCUCUACGAGAUGUACUCAAAGCUUUGCCACUGACCCGUGACGAAGACAUCUUUAAAUGAUUAAAAACCAAUAGUCACUCAAUUUUCGCUAUAAUAUGUGAAGUGUUUAUAAAUUUCACUUUUGCUUGUACAAUAUCAGUGUAUAACUUGCAAGCAAUUUGGUGAAUUCUUGCUUAAACU
rnacentral:misc_RNA from 1 species